rnacentral:lncRNA from 1 species
UGUGAUGUUGUCAUGGGAUGGGUGUUGUGGGGUGUGAUGUUGUCAUGGGUUGGGUAUUGUCAUGGGUUGGGGUGUUGUCGUGGGUUGGGUGUUGUGUUGUUGUGGGUUGGGGUGUUGUGUUGCUGUGGGGUGUGAUGUUGUCAUGGGUUGGGGUGUUGCCGUGGGUUGGGGUGUUGUGUUGUUAUGGGUUGGGGUGUUUUGUGUUGCUGUGGGGUGUGGUGUUGUCGUGGGUUGGGCGUUGCUGUGGGUUGGGGUGUUGUCGUGGGUUGGGUGUUGUCAUGGGAUGGGGGCUUGUCACCAGUUGGGGUGUUGUGUUGCUGUGGGGUGUGGUGUUGUCAUGAGUUGGGUGUUGUCGGGGGUUGGGGUGUUGUUGUGGGUUGGGUGUUGUCGUGGGUUGGGGUGUUGUGUUGCUGUGGGGUGUGAUGUUGUCAUGGGUUGGGU